UUUCUCUUCCAGGCCCUGUUCCCUUCUGUAUACAGGGCUUCGGGUUAACCCUUGCUGCAUAGAGUGCUCAGACAUGGAGGCAUUUAAAUUUUAAGGGUGUGCUAUAAAUAUACCUGGAAAGGUUCUGUGAAGACUGCAAGAAAAAAGUACACAAUUUUCAAUUGCUUGGAAGCUCAAAAGAAGAAUCAAGAGGAUCAAAUAAAUGGGAAUUAGACUGGUCUCAGCUGGAGAAAGUUUUGCAUUUGGCCGCAGGACAGAAAGUGUGGUGCACAAAAGAGUACUUUGAACUGGGAGCUGGUUUUGUCUCCGUUCAUGGCAGCAAGGAUGGGAUUCAAUCAAAUUAUCUUUUUGACAUUCUCACUCCCAGCUCCAAUAAUGAGUUUAUGGCUGUGGUGCAGCAGUAAGAUUACUCCACCUAUUACAAAA
rnacentral:lncRNA from 1 species